GGCAGAGCAAGACUGUCAAAAAAAGAUAUAAAGUGUGGUAGGCAAGAAGAGGAAAGAGAUCAUCUCAGCUGUUUUUGGAUAUUGGAAGUGAGCUGAGACCUGAGAACUGAGACGCUGCCUGUUGCAGGAAAACACAACCAACGCAUGGAGACGCAGCAGAGAGGGAGCCAGCACACAAAUGGCCUGACUUCAUCCCCCUCCUAUCCUCCUAAAUCUAGCGCAUGCUGCCUAUUGUCCACCCCAACCAAAGACCAAAAGACAAGGAAGCUCAUCAUACUCAAUGGUGAUAGACUGAAAGCUUUCCCCAUAAGAGCAGAAACAAUAUAAGGAUGCCAGUUUUCAUCACUGCUAUGUAACAUUUUACUGGGAGUCCUAGCCAGAGCAGUUUGGGAAGAAAAAGUGAAACACUGUCAUUAUUUGGAAUCACAAUAGUCAUCCAAAUUGGAAACGAAGAAAUAUUUACAGUUGCAGAAGACAGGAUUCUACAUAUAGAAUAUCCCAAGGAAUACACAAAAAUAUCGAUUAGAUCUAGUAAAUUGAUUUAGGAAAGUUGUAGGGUAUAAGAUGAACACACAAAAACCAGUUGUGUUUCUAUACAUCAACAAGGAACAAUCCUAAAAAAAAAAAAAUUCCAUUUAUAAUGGCAUCCAGAAGAAUCAAAUACAAUUCUUAAGAAUACAUUUAACCUAAGAGGUGAAGGAUACACUGAAAAGUAUAAAGCUGCUGAGUAAAACUUAAAAAGACCUAAUUUAAUAUAAUGAAUUUCCAUGGUUAUGUAUCAGAAAACUUAAUAUUGUUAAGACUGCAGUACUUCCAAAAUGAGCUACAGAUUCAAUGCAAUCCCUAUAAAAAUUUUAAUGGCCAUUUUUGCAUAAAUGGAAAGAUUGAUCCUCAAAUUCACACAGAAUUGCAUGAGGCCCUAAACAGCCAAAACAAUAUUGAAAAAGAGAAAUAAAGCACUACAAAGCUACAAUAAUCAAAACAGUGUGGUAAAGUCAUAAAGAUAGACAUACAGUCCAACAGAGUAGAGUUUACAAUCCAAAAAUAAACCCAAACACCUAUGGUCAAUUGAUUUU